UACAGAGGGGGCAAGCGUUAUUCGGAAUUAUUGGGCGUAAAGGGCGCGUAGGCGGCCUGGCAAGUGGAAGGUGAAAUCCCUCGGCUUAACCGAGGAACUGCCCUCCAAACUGCUUGGCUUGAGUCCGGGAGAGGUGAGUGGAAUUCCCAGUGUAGCGGUGAAAUGCGUAGAUAUUGGGAGGAACACCUGUGGCGAAAGCGGCUCACUGGACCAUUACUGACGCUGAGGCACGAAAGCUAGGGGAGCAAACAGG
rnacentral:rRNA from 1 species